GACGGAGGGUGCUAGCGUUGUUCGGAAGCACUGGGCGUAAAGGGCGCGUAGGCGGCCUUGCAAGGCGGUUGGUGAAAGCCCGGGGCUCAACCCCGGAGGUGCGGCCGAGACUGCAGGGCUGGAGGCCGGAAGAGGAGGGUGGAAUACCCAGUGUAGAGGUGAAAUUCGUAGAUAUCGAGAGGAACACCGGUGGCGAAGGCGGCCUUCUGGACAGUGACUGACGCUGAGACGCGAAAGCGUGGGGAGCAAACAGG
rnacentral:rRNA from 1 species